AGCAGCCGCGGUAAUUCCAGCUCCAAUAGCGUAUAUUAAAGUUGUUGCAGUUAAAAAGCUCGUAGUUGAACCUUAGGCUCGUGCGGGUGGUCCGUCCCUCUGGGCGAGCACUGCCUCGUCGCGGGUCUCGACCUUUCUGGUGAGUGUGGAUGCCAUUAGUUUGGUGCCCGCGGGAACCAGGACUUUUACCUUGAAAAAAUUAGAGUGCUCAAAGCAGGCUCCGACGCUUGAAUACAUUAGCAUGGAAUAAUGAAAUAGGACGAUGGUUCUAUUUUGUUGGUUUCCGGGACCGUCGUAAUGAUUAAUAGGGAUAGUUGGGGGCAUUCGUAUUCAAUUGUCAGAGGUGAAAUUCUUGGAUUUAUUGAAGACGAACUACUGCGAAAGCAUUUGCCAAGGAUGUUUUCAUUAAUCAAGAACGAAAGUUGGAGGAUCGAAGACGAUCAGAUACCGUCGUAGUCUCAACCAUAAACUAUGCCGACUGGGAAUCGGACGAUGUUAUUUUUUGUGUACUCGUUCGGCG
rnacentral:rRNA from 1 species